rnacentral:ncRNA from 1 species
GAUUGUAGGAGAGACUAGACGAUUGGUUUAGCACCGAAGGAGCAAGUCCCAUAAAACCCAACCUUUGGGAUUAAUCUCUCAGGUAAAGAUACU